rnacentral:rRNA from 1 species
ACUCCUGCGGGAGGCAGCAGUGGGGAAUAUUGGACAAUGGGCGCAAGCCUGAUCCAGCCAUGCCGCGUGAGUGAUGAAGGCCCUAGGGUUGUAAAGCUCUUUCACCGGUGAAGAUAAUGACGGUAACCGGAGAAGAAGCCCCGGCUAACUUCGUGCCAGCAGCCGCGGUAAUACGAAGGGGGCUAGCGUUGUUCGGAUUUACUGGGCGUAAAGCGCACGUAGGCGGACUAUUAAGUCAGGGGUGAAAUCCCGGGGCUCAACCCCGGAACUGCCUUUGAUACUGGUAGUCUUGAGUUCGAGAGAGGUGAGUGGAAUUCCGAGUGUAGAGGUGAAAUUCGUAGAUAUUCGGAGGAACACCAGUGGCGAAGGCGGCUCACUGGCUCGAUACUGACGCUGAGGUGCGAAAGCGUGGGGAGCAAACAGGAUUAGAAACCCCUGUAGUCCCAU